UACGAAGGGGGCUAGCGUUGCUCGGAAUCACUGGGCGUAAAGGGUGCGUAGGCGGGUCUUUUAAGUCAGGGGUGAAAUCCUGGAGCUCAACUCCAGAACUGCCUUUGAUACUGAGGAUCUUGAGUUCGGGAGAGGUGAGUGGAACUGCGAGUGUAGAGGUGAAAUUCGUAGAUAUCGAGAGGAACACCUGCGGCGAAGGCGGGUUGCUGGGCUGACACUGACGCUGAUGCGCGAAAGCUAGGGGAGCGAACGGG
rnacentral:rRNA from 1 species